rnacentral:lncRNA from 1 species
UCUUUUUUUUUUUUUUCUCCUCUGAGUUUGACACGUUUUCACCUCCAGUAGGAGGUAAGUAUUUAAUGAGGGCAGUAUAGCUCCAUCUGUAUUUUUCUGUGCUUUCCUACCUCUUUAACCUCUGUUCUGAUUUUCUGUUUCAAAAAUUAAGUCACUCUUACAAUUUCUUCAUAAUGCAUUCUGUCCACCCCUUGUUCUUCAGCAUUUCUAGGAAUUCAUCCUGCCUUCUUAAAUGACCUGUCAUUUUUGGACUGUAUCUGUAACUCUUGGGUGGAUACUUGGUAACCAUUCUGAAUUCUGAUGAUCAAAGCAGAAAAUUUCAAAUCUGUAAUGCUUUGGAGACAAUGAGCUGUCUGCAAGCAAGAAGUAAUUAUUAUUAUUAUUGAGACUGGUUACUAAGCUGUUCUCACUCACCAACCAUACAUAGGGAACUAUGUAUUUCAAGUGUGAGUUUAAUUUUGUCAGUUUAAUCUACUACAUUAAUGGUAGAGCUAAAUUAAUCUUUUCACAUAGGCAUCUACAAUUUGAGAUAAAUUGAAAAUGUGUUAGUGAAGGGCAAGAUUCCAUUAUAAAAUCCUGGCCUACCUAAUUGCUUUAUUAGUUUUAUAAAUAUUCAUUUUUAGAAAUGAAAUCAAUGGUAUUGAAGAUCUUAGUUCUUUUUCAUUCCUAUGAAGUUGUAAUCCAAGCUUCUCUCUCAUGAGGACAACUCUCUUUCUCUUCCUCCUUCUUACGCAUACUUACUUAUUCUACUUCAGGCUUAUAAGCAAAUCAUUCUCAAUGCCUAUGGACUUUAAAAGCAGGUAUGUAUGUAGGUGUAAUUGCUUCUCAGAAGCUAGGAUAAUGCUGUUUACCAACAACACUUGUGUAAUUUCUACUUGGUACACACCUGUGACGAAUUUUCUGCCAAACUUACAUUAUUUUUAUAGUAAUGUAGUAAUAUAGUAUCAUAAUCAUAAUAUAGCAUCCACAGCUAUAGUAUUCUUUUCCUGACCAAAGUUUUCAAUAAUAGACCUGAAAGACUUAAUGUGUUAGGUUGCAGGCCCAGUGAAUUUACUAAAAAUAAAGCUGAACAAAGAAUCGAUACAAUUUCCC